ACGCUCGACACCUACGGGAGGCAGCAGUGGGGAAUAUUGGGCAAUGGAGGCAACUCUGACCCAGCAACGCCGCGUGAGUGAUGAAGGUCUUCGGAUUGUAAAACUCUUUAAGUAGGGACGAAGAAAGUGACGGUACCUACAGAAUAAGCCUCGGCUAACUACGUGUCAGCAGCCGCGGUAAUCUGAGCGGGCUGGCAAGGC
rnacentral:rRNA from 1 species